rnacentral:rRNA from 1 species
UACAGAGGGGGCAAGCGUUGUUCGGAAUUACUGGGCGUAAAGGGCGCGUAGGCGGCCUGCUAAGUCGAACGUGAAAUCCCUGGGCUCAACCCAGGAACUGCGUCCGAUACUGGUUGGCUUGAAUCCGGGAGAGGGACGUGGAAUUCCAGGUGUAGCGGUGAAAUGCGUAGAUAUCUGGAGGAACACCGGUGGCGAAGGCGGCGUUCUGGACUGUAUCUGACACUGAGGAACGAAAGCCAGGGGAGCAAACGGG